UACGUAGGGGGCAAGCGUUGUCCGGAUUUAUUGGGCGUAAAGAGCUCGUAGGCGGUUCGGUAAGUCGGGUGUGAAACCUCCAGGCUCAACCUGGAGACGCCACCCGAUACUGCUGUGACUCGAGUCCGGUAGGGGAGCGUGGAAUUCCUGGUGUAGCGGUGAAAUGCGCAGAUAUCAGGAGGAACACCGGUGGCGAAGGCGGAUCUCUGGGCCUUACCUGACGCUCAGGUGCGAAAGCUAGGGGAGCGAACAGG
rnacentral:rRNA from 1 species